UACGUAGGGUGCAAGCGUUGUCCGGAAUUAUUGGGCGUAAAGAGCUUGUAGGCGGUUUGUCGCGUCUGCUGUGAAAUUUCGGGGCUCAACCCCGAACUUGCAGUGGGUACGGGCAGACUAGAGUGUGGUAGGGGAGACUGGAAUUCCUGGUGUAGCGGUGAAAUGCGCAGAUAUCAGGAGGAACACCGAUGGCGAAGGCGGAUCUCUGGGCCAUUACUGACGCUGAGGAGCGAAAGCGUGGGGAGCAAACAGG
rnacentral:rRNA from 1 species